rnacentral:rRNA from 1 species
UCUGGAGCUAAUACAUGCAUAAAAGAUAUUUCAUUUAUUGAAAUAUUGCGUAUAUUAGUAUUAAAACCAAGCAUUCUUCGGAAUGUUUUGUGUUGAAACUGAAUAUAUCAUGCUGAUCGUAUGGUCUUGUACCGACGACAUGUCAUUCAAGUGUCUGAUCUAUCAACUUUCUAUAUAAGUAUAUAGUACUUAUAUGGUUUUGACGGAUAACGGGGUAUUAGGGUACGACUCCGGAGAAAAUGCCUGAGAAACGGCGUUUACAUCCAAGGAAGGCAGCAGGCGCGAAAAUUACCCACUCUCAGUACGAGGAGGUAGUGACGAGAAAUGACAAGAUCUAUUCCUUCGGGGAUGGAUCAUUGGAAUGGUUUGAUUUUAAAAUCAUUAAAGAGUAUCAAUGAGAGGGCAAGUCUGGUGCCAGCAGCCGCGGUAAUUCCAGCUCUCAUACUGCAUUGAAUUGUUGUUGCGGUUAAUAAGCUCGUAGUUGGAUCUGUACAUGAUAGGUUAGUUCAUCCUUUGGAUUGUAACUAAUACUAAAUGUUUUUUAUUAGAUUUUUAUAUUUGGCCGUAAGGUUAUAUAUAAUGUCUAAUGAGUUUACUUUGAAUAAAUCAGAGUGCUCAAAACAGGCGUAAGCUUGUAUGGUUUUGCAUGGAAUAAUAGAACAUGACUAUGGUUCAUGUUUUAUUGGUUU